GGAGCUGCCCGGGCUCUGCCUGUGCUGGGCUGUGUGUGACACUGUCCUGGGCAGUGUGUGACACCGUCCUGGGCUGUGUGUGACACACUGUGCAGUGUGUGACACCAUCCUGGGCUGUGUGUGACACACUGUGCAGUGUGUGACACCGUCCUGUCCUGGGCUGUGUGUGACACCCUGUGCAGUGUGUGACACCCUGUGCAGUGUGUGACACCGUCCUGGGCUGUGUGUGACACUGUCCUGGGCUGUGUGUGACACUGUC
rnacentral:lncRNA from 1 species